GGCUUUAUAGUCAAUUAAUGAUUUUGGAUUGCAAUUCUGAAGUAGAAUAGGUUUAUUCUAAGGCUU
rnacentral:tRNA from 1 species